GCGCGCCUCCGCGGCUGCUUGCGAACAAAACAGCUACCUGAGCAUGAAGGCUGCAGGAGGCCCUCUAUGUGCAGCAGUUCCAUCCUUGGUGGAGACAACACCUCCUGAAACCCCCUCUGGAUGUUCCAGGUGGAGUUUGGAGAAGCUGAAGAAAGAUUACUCCGGAGCCACUGGGGCUGAGGGGACUCCUCUCCUAACAGGGAUGGCAAGAGGGGAGACCAUGUAGAAGUUGGAGUGACCUUGAAGUCUAAGAAGAAAGCUGAAAGUUAAAUCAUUACCAGGCACAUACACUGCCUUCUGAGGGCUCUGUCUUUCUUCAGGAAGAGGAGGAGAUGCCCAAAUUAGAGGUAUGUUAGGGUUUACCUUCUCUCCCUAGAAAUAUCACCUACAUACUUCAUUUUGGGAUUGGGGAAGGA
rnacentral:lncRNA from 1 species